rnacentral:rRNA from 1 species
AUGAACGCUGGCGGCGUGCCUAAUCCAUGCCAGUCGAGCGAACAGACGAGGAGCUUGCUCCUCUGACGUUAGCGGCGGACGGGUGAGUAACACGUGGAUAACCUACCUAUAAGACUGGGAUAACUUCGGGAAACCGGAGCUAAUACCGGAUAAUAUAUUGAACCGCAUGGUUCAAUAGUGAAAGACGGUUUUGCUGUCACUUAUAGAUGGAUCCGCGCCGCAUUAGCUAGUUGGUAAGGUAACGGCUUACCAAGGCAACGAUGCGUAGCCGACCUGAGAGGGAGAUCGGCCACACUGGAACUGAGACACGGUGCAGACUCCGACGGGAGGCAGCAGUAGGGAAUCUUCCGCAAGGGGCGAAAGCCUGACGGAGCAACGCCGCGUGAGUGAUGAAGGUCUUCGGAUCGUAAAACUCUGUUAUUAGGGAAGAACAAAUGUGUAAGUAACUAUGCACGUCUUGACGGUACCUAAUCAGAAAGCCACGGCUAACUACGUG